GAUGAACGCUGGCGGCGUGCCUAAUACAUGCAAGUCGAGCGAACGGACGAGAAGCUUGCUUCUCUGAUGUUAGCGGCGGACGAGUGAGUAACACGUGGAUAACCUACCUAUAAGACUGGGAUAACUUCGGGAAACCGGAGCUAAUACCGGAUGAUAUUUUGAACCGCAUGGUUCAAAAGUGAAAGACGGUCUUGCUGUCACUUAUAGAUGGAUCCGCGCUGCAUUAGCUAGUUGGUAAGGUAACGGCUUACCAAGGCAACGAUGCAUAGCCGACCUGAGAGGGUGAUCGGCCACACUGGAACUGAGCCACGGUCCAGACUCCUACGGGAGGCAGCAGUAGGGAAUCUUCCGCAAUGGGCGAAAGCCUGACGGAGCAACGCCGCGUGAGUGAUGAAGGUCUUCGGAUCGUAAAACUCUGUUAUUAGGGAAGAACAUAUGUGUAAGUAACUGUGCACAUCUUGACGGUACCUAAUCAGAAAGCCACGGCUAACUACGUG
rnacentral:rRNA from 1 species